AAUAGAUACUCGGGUAGUCCACGCCGUAAACGAUGAGUGCUAAGUGUUAGAGGGUUUCCGCCCUUUAGUGCUGCAGCUAACGCAUUAAGCACUCCGCCUGGGGAGUACGGUCGCAAGACUGAAACUCAAAGGAAUUGACGGGGGCCCGCACAAGCGGUGGAGCAUGUGGUUUAAUUCGAAGCAACGCGAAGAACCUUACCAGGUCUUGACAUCCUCUGACAACUCUAGAGAUAGAGCGUUCCCCUUCGGGGGACAGAGUGACAGGUGGUGCAUGGUUGUCGUCAGCUCGUGUCGUGAGAUGUUGGGUUAAGUCCCGCAACGAGCGCAACCCUUGAUCUUAGUUGCCAGCAUUCAGUUGGGCACUCUAAGGUGACUGCCGGUGACAAACCGGAGGAAGGUGGGGAUGACGUCAAAUCAUCAUGCCCCUUAUGACCUGGGCUACACACGUGCUACAAUGGAUGGUACAAAGGGCUGCAAGACCGCGAGGUCAAGCCAAUCCCAUAAAACCAUUCUCAGUUCGGAUUGU
rnacentral:rRNA from 1 species